UACGAAGGGGGCUAGCGUUGCUCGGAAUUACUGGGCGUAAAGGGCGCGUAGGCGGCCUACUAAGUCAGACGUGAAAUCCCCCGGCUUAACCUGGGAACUGCGUCUGAUACUGGAAGGCUUGAGUAUGGGAGAGGGAUGUAGAAUUCCAGGUGUAGCGGUGAAAUGCGUAGAUAUCUGGAGGAAUACCGGUGGCGAAGGCGGCAUCCUGGACCAUUACUGACGCUGAGGCGCGAAAGCUAGGGGAGCAAACGGG
rnacentral:rRNA from 1 species